rnacentral:rRNA from 1 species
UUGAUCCUGGCUCAGAAUCAACGCUGGCGGCGUGCCUAACACAUGCAAGUCGAACGCGAAGACCCCGCAAGGGGUUGGUAGCGUGGCAAACGGGUGAGUUACGCGUGGGCGAUCUACCUUCGAGUGGGGGAUAACCUUCCGAAAGGAGGUCUAAUACCGCAUGACAUCCCGUGUUUAGAUACAUGGACAUCAAAGCUGGUGUCGCAAGACCUGGCGCUUGAAGAGGAGCCCGCGUCCGAUUAGCUAGUUUGUGAGGUAACGGCUCACCAAGGCUCCGAUCGGUAUCCGGCCUGAGAGGGUGGACGGACACACUGGAACUGAGACACGGUCCAGACUCCUACGGGAGGCAUCAGUGGGGAAUUGUUCGCAAUGGGCGCAAGCCUGACGACGCAACGCCGCUUGGAGGAUGAAGACCUUCGGGUCGUAAACUCCUUUCGACCGAGAUGAAAUGCCUCCGACCUAAUACGACGGAGGCCUGACAGUAUCGAGGGAAGAAGCCUCGGCUAACUCUGUGCCAGCAGCCGCGGUAAUAAGGU